CCUACGGGUGGCAGCAGUGGGGAAUAUUGGACAAUGGGCGAAAGCCUGAUCCAGCCAUGCCGCGUGUGUGAAGAAGGCCUUCGGGUUGUAAAGCACUUUCAGUGGGGAAGAAAGCCUUGGGGCUAAUACCCUCGAGGAAGGACAUCACCCACAGAAGAAGCACCGGCUAACUCCGUGCCAGCAGCCGCGGUAAUACGGAGGGUGCGAGCGUUAAUCGGAAUUACUGGGCGUAAAGCGCGCGUAGGCGGUCUGAUAAGCCGGUUGUGAAAGCCCCGGGCUCAACCUGGGAACGGCAUCCGGAACUGUCAGGCUAGAGUGCAGGAGAGGAAGGUAGAAUUCCCGGUGUAGCGGUGAAAUGCGUAGAGAUCGGGAGGAAUACCAGUGGCGAAGACGGCCUUCUGGACUGACACUGACGCUGAGGUGCGAAAGCGUGGGUAGCAAACAGGAUUAGAUACCCGGGUAGUC
rnacentral:rRNA from 1 species